rnacentral:rRNA from 1 species
CUGCUGCCUUCCGUAGGAGUUUGGACCGUGUCUCAGUUCCAAUGUGGGGGACCUUCCUCUCAGAACCCCUAUCCAUCGUCGUCUUGGUGGGCCGUUACCCCGCCAACUAACUAAUGGAACGCAUCCCCAUCGAUAACCGAAAUUCUUUAAUAUCAAGAUCAUGCGACCUCGAUAUCCUAUCGGAUAUUAAUCUUUCUUUCGAAAGGCUAUCCCCGAGUUAUCGGCAGGUUGGAUACGUGUUACUCACCCGUGCGCCGGUCGCCAUCGG